UGGGGAAUUUUGGACAAUGGGCGAAAGCCUGAUCCAGCAAUGCCGCGUGUGUGAAGAAGGCCUUCGGGUUGUAAAGCACUUUUGUCCGGAAAGAAAUCCUUGGCUCUAAUACAGUCGGGGGAUGACGGUACCGGAAGAAUAAGCACCGGCUAACUACGUGCCAGCAGCCGCGGUAAUACGUAGGGUGCAAGCGUUAAUCGGAAUUACUGGGCGUAAAGCGUGCGCAGGCGGUUUGCUAAGACCGAUGUGAAAUCCCCGGGCUCAACCUGGGAACUGCAUUGGUGACUGGCAGGCUAGAGUAUGGCAGAGGGGGGUAGAAUUCCACGUGUAGCAGCGAAAUGCGUAGAGAUGUGGAGGAAUACCGAUGGCGAAGGCAGCCCCCUGGGCCAAUACUGACGCUCAUGCACGAAAGCGUGGGGAGCAAACAGGAUUAGAUACCCUGGUAGUCCACGCCCUAAAACGAUGUCAACUAGUUGUUGGGGAUUCAUUUCCUUAGUAACGUAGCUAACGCGUGAAGUUGACCGCCUGGGGAGUACGGUCGCAAGAUUAAAACUCAAAGGAAUUGACGGGG
rnacentral:rRNA from 1 species